AUGAAUUAUGCUUAUGGAGAUGAACUUGCUAUAGUUCCUUAUGUUAAGAAUGAAAUUGUUGUUAUUUCACCCAUGCAUUAUAGUCCUAUUAUCUUUUUGAAUUCUCCAAACUACACUAUACCGGAGAAGUUUGUUCUUAUUAAGGAUUAUAUUGAUGGGUUGCCUUUUACCGUUGCACAUGAUGAUUUUUAUGAAUAUAAUUUGCAUGUGAUUGCUGAUCCUACUUGCAAUUCUUAUGAGAGAGGAACUACAUCUCCACCUCUCUAUGUUUCCAACACGAUAAAAUUGCAAGAAACUACUUAUGCUAUGUACUGGCCUUUACUUGAUGUGCAUGAAUUGUUCUUAUAUGACAUGCCGAUGCAUAGGAAGAGGGUUAGACUUUGUCAUUGUAUGAUAUAUGUUUCUUUGUGCUCAGUACUAAAUGCCAAAUCAUUGCUAAUUAAAAUUGGCUUUGAUAUACCUUGGGAUCCGGGUGGAUUCAUUACUUGA
rnacentral:rRNA from 1 species